rnacentral:rRNA from 1 species
UUCUUUAAGGUAAGGAGGUGAUCCAACCGCAGGUUCCCCUACGGUUACCUUGUUACGACUUCACCCCAGUCAUGAAUCACAAAGUGGUAAGCGCCCUCCCGAAGGUUAAGCUACCUACUUCUUUUGCAACCCACUCCCAUGGUGUGACGGGCGGUGUGUACAAGGCCCGGGAACGUAUUCACCGUGGCAUUCUGAUCCACGAUUACUAGCGAUUCCGACUUCAUGGAGUCGAGUUGCAGACUCCAAUCCGGACUACGACGCACUUUAUGAGGUCCGCUUGCUCUCGCGAGGUCGCUUCUCUUUGUAUGCGCCAUUGUAGCACGUGUGUAGCCCUGGUCGUAAGGGCCAUGAUGACUUGACGUCAUCCCCACCUUCCUCCAGUUUAUCACUGGCAGUCUCCUUUGAGUUCCCGGCCGGACCGCUGGCAACAAAGGAUAAGGGUUGCGCUCGUUGCGGGACUUAACCCAACAUUUCACAACACGAGCUGACGACAGCCAUGCAGCACCUGUCUCACGGUUCCCGAAGGCACAUUCUCAUCUCUGAAAACUUCCGUGGAUGUCAAGACCAGGUAAGGUUCUUCGCGUUGCAUCGAAUUAAACCACAUGCUCCACCGCUUGUGCGGGCCCCCGUCAAUUCAUUUGAGUUUUAACCUUGCGGCCGUACUCCCCAGGCGGUCUACUUAACGCGUUAGCUCCGGAAGCCACGCCUCAAGGGCACAACCUCCAAGUAGACAUCGUUUACGGCGUGGACUACCAGGGUAUCUAAUCCUGUUUGCUCCCCACGCUUUCGCACCUGAGCGUCAGUCUUUGUCCAGGGGGCCGCCUUCGCCACCGGUAUUCCUCCAGAUCUCUACGCAUUUCACCGCUACACCUGGAAUUCUACCCCCCUCUACAAGACUCAAGCCUGCCAGUUUCGAAUGCAGUUCCCAGGUUGAGCCCGGGGAUUUCACAUCCGACUUGACAGACCGCCUGCGUGCGCUUUACGCCCAGUAAUUCCGAUUAACGCUUGCACCCUCCGUAUUACCGCGGCUGCUGGCACGGAGUUAGCCGGUGCUUCUUCUGCGGGUAACGUCAAUUGCUGCGGUUAUUAACCACAACACCUUCCUCCCCGCUGAAAGUACUUUACAACCCGAAGGCCUUCUUCAUACACGCGGCAUGGCUGCAUCAGGCUUGCGCCCAUUGUGCAAUAUUCCCCACUGCUGCCUCCCGUAGGAGUCUGGACCGUGUCUCAGUUCCAGUGUGGCUGGUCAUCCUCUCAGACCAGCUAGGGAUCGUCGCCUUGGUGAGCCGUUACCUCACCAACAAGCUAAUCCCAUCUGGGCACAUCUGAUGGCAAGAGGCCCGAAGGUCCCCCUCUUUGGUCUUGCGACGUUAUGCGGUAUUAGCCACCGUUUCCAGUAGUUAUCCCCCUCCAUCAGGCAGUUUCCCAGACAUUACUCACCCGUCCGCCACUCGUCAGCAAAGCAGCAAGCUGCUUCCUGUUACCGUUCGACUUGCAUGUGUUAGGCCUGCCGCCAGCGUUCAAUCUGAGCCAUGAUCAAACUCUUCAAUUUAAAAGUUUGAUGCUCAAUGAAUUAAACUUCGUAAUGAAUUACGUGUUCACUCUUGAGACUUGGUAUUCAUUUUUCGUCNNNNNNNNNNNNNNNNNNNNACAGAUUGUCUGAUAAAUUGUUAAAGAGCAGGUGCGACGCGGCUUUCAGCUCACCGUCGCGAGGUGGCGUAUAUUACGCUUUCCUCUUUCAGAGUCAA